rnacentral:tRNA from 1 species
CAGUGCUGUAAGGCGAACAUCGCUGCCCGGAAAGCAGAAGAUGCGGGUUCGAGUCCCGCCUG